UAGCGGCGGACGGGUGAGUAACACGUGGGUAACCUGCCUCAUAGGGGAAUAGCCUCCCGAAAGGGAGAUUAAUACCGCAUAACACUGCGGUUUCGCAUGAAACUGCAGUUAAAGGAGCAAUCCGCUAUGAGAUGGACCCGCGGCGCAUUACCUAGUUGGUGAGGUAAAGGCUCACCAAGGCCACGAUGCGUAGUGACGACCUGAGAGGGUGAUCGGCCACAUUGGAACUGAGACACGGUCCAGACUCCUACGGAGGCAGCAGUGGCGAAUAUUGCACAAUGGCCGAAAGCCUGAUGCAGCACGCGGCGUGAAGGNUGAAUGCCUUCGGGUUGUAACUCUUGUCUUCUGGGACGAUAUGACGGUACCAGAGAGAAGCACGCUACUCGUGCAGCAGCGCGUAAUCGUAGUGCGAGCGUGCCGAUUACUGGCGUAGGAUGCGUAGCGAAUU
rnacentral:rRNA from 1 species